CCUGGAUUCGUCCACAAUAGCGUCCCGAGGCCUCCAUUUCAAUGGGCCAAACACCGGAGGAACAGUCGACGCCCACGUCAAUUGCGUCAGAAGCUACAAUGUAGCUUAUUGGUCAAACUAACGUCACCCCCUCACGAUUUUACAAAAUAAAAGCAGGCACAUUAUGUUAAAUAGGAAAAGGGUGAUUUUACACACCAAAAAAAGGUCCACGACACAUAUUUAGAUGAUAUAUAUGUAUUUAUUCUAUUAAGAAUGUUGCCAAGCUUGAAUGAUGCUUUAUACAAGUAAAAAUAUAUCGCUUCCGCCGUAAAUACUUUUAUUUUGAAAAGGACCAGUACAGCUUCCUACUAUAAAAUGCCUCGUAUACUAUCUACUGAAAUGCCGUGCACUGUCAUUUGUGAGAUGCUCUUCUACACACAAGUGAGAUUCUGUGCAGUCUCAUUACUGAGAGCCUCUUAUACACACAAGUGAAUAACCUCUCACACAUAAGACUGAAAAAUAUCUCACAUUCCUUGGUCAAACGUUCGUAUAAAUGCAUGUGAAAACAUCUGUACAGAUACGUAUGACUUAAAAAGCUAUCAGACAUAAGUCUCGGUAAUUAUAAGUAUGGGGGUAAUUAUAAGUAUCCACAUUGAUGCAUGCCAUUGAAUUAUAAUAAAUUGAAUGGUUGAAUAAUCAAGAAAGCAAGAUAUUUUCAUUAGCACAUAUAUUUUAAGCUUGAUAAAGAUAGAUCUAAAUAAAGUUUAAGAUUUUUUUAGCAUUAUUGAAUAAAUUAUAUUGUGUGUUUUAAACGUGGCAUUAAAAAACAACAACAAUAAUAUUACAUUUUAUUUUUAGGUGUCUUUCAGGACACUCAAGAUUGCCGUACAAGGUAAAAGGUAAAAAAUAAGUUAAAAUACACACAUACAGAUAAAACCCACAACAAUGUUAAAUUAAAAAGAAUAAUGGAAUUAUGAGGAAGAAAGCCUGUCUGAAUAAAUAUGUUUCAAGAUGUUACUUGGCUGAGAUUGUAAGGAAGUCCAAAGUAUUGUGCGGCCUCAUCAACAUCAAAUUAUAAUCGAUAUAAGGGUCAGCAGGGAUGAAAUCGAACUACAUAUUCACACACAUUCAGUACUAGCCUACAUUCUAUAAUGAAGUGGAACACUGAUAAAGGUAUAGUUUAUGGUUUUUAUUUAAAACUGUAUUUUUGAUGACUGCUGUUAGUUAAAACGUCCACUAGAUGGCAUUAUAUGAUCUUGCAUUGCACUAAAACCAGGUAUAUGAGCGUUGCAUUUUGGGAAAUGAAGAUGCUAUGAACGCUAAUGGAGAAAACGCUAACGCUAGCGCGACCUCUUUCAAACCAAAGAAAAACUGACGAGUUCCAGACUGCUCUAAUCAGCGAAUUACAUCUGAGUUCUGUGUGAUACAAGUGUCUGACAGAAUUGAUGUCAAGGAGGAUUCGGCCUGAUUCAAUGAGGGAUUGAGGACCAAUUUUUUUCAACUUCAGCCAACUGUUGGAGCAUCACCCAAAGCAGAUAAGGUCGUGGAGGAAAAGACGUUAGUUUGACCAAUAAGCUACAUUGUAGCUUAUGACACAAUUGAAGUGGGCGUCAACUGUUCCUCCGGCUUUUGGCACAUUUAAAUGGAGGCCAGUAUCCGGACGAGUCCAGGUUACCUGCUGAUAUCGACAAAGAGAAGCACAGGAUAAAUUGCCACUCAGUGACGGUAUGAAUGUGGGUGCCAAUGGUCGUCUGUCUCUUUGUGUACCCUGUGAUUAAUCAUUUCAGCGUGCUGCCCGUCUUCCAUUGCAAGUAUUGGUGGCUCGGUGGUAGAGUUUUCGCACGCUGCGCGGGAACCCCGAGACUGAUGCCCGGGCACGCCGAUGCAUCUUGGGGUAGCCUUUGCAGCUAGCCUCGCAUCGGGGCAACAGUUCCGCUACGACAACGCGAGCAGACCAGGAUAUACGGUGUUGGAAAUGUCCCACACUACAACAAAUCAUUAUUUUAUCCACACUGGUUUGAGUGCAAUAUUGUUGUGGUUGGUUCGUUGUUUAAAAUGUGUAAAAGAAAUAAUGUUUGUUUUGCAUGUGGGAUGAGAAUUCAGUAAAACGGCAUGUGAGGGACUAACUUGUCCCCCCCCUCCACAGUACUUAAGUUACUGAAUAUGUAUAUAAAAAUGGAUCUUAAGCUACUAUACCGAGUGUGGUUUGAUUGUCAAUAUCAGUUUGCAUAUGACUGAUGAAAAAGGUAAAAUUUCAGAUUUGAAGAAGUCCAUUGGAACUGUUUUGAAAUAAAAAAAACCAUCCCACCUUGUUUCCAAUUGCCAAAUAUAUAUGCCUUGUAGACUGAAGUGCAAAUUGUGUUUAUUCACAGAUGCAAGACAGUGUUAAAGUAUAAGAAUAAAAUGUCGCAGUAAGGUUUAUUGACCACAU